GGCAAGAUGAGUUAAGGUACUGUAGAUAUUAGUCAAUAUUACUUAAUAGUACUUACUAUAAUACUGUGAAAGCGGACUGAAAAUCCGUGUGUCGGUGGUUCAAUUCCACCUCUGGCCACCA
rnacentral:tRNA from 1 species